rnacentral:rRNA from 1 species
UGAGGAAUUUUCCGCAAUGGGCGAAAGCCUGACGGAGCAAUGCCGCGUGAGGGAAGAAGGUCUGUGGAUCGUAAACCUCUUUUUUCAGAGAAGAACAAAUGACGGUAUCUGAAGAAUAAGCUCCGGCUAACCUCGUG